CCUACGGGUGGCAGCAGUGAGGAAUAUUGGUCAAUGGGCGCAAGCCUGAACCAGCCAAGUCGCGUGAGGGAAGACGGCCCUACGGGUUGUAAACCUCUUUCGCCGGGGAGCAAGCCUGAGCACGUGUGUCCAGGCGGAGAGCACCCGGAGACAAAGCAUCGGCUAACUUCGUGCCAGCAGCCGCGGUAAUACGGAGGAUGCGAGCGUUAUCCGGAUUCAUGGGGGUUUAAGGGUGUGCAGGCGGGCUGUUAAGCCGGCGGUAAACAUUCAGGGCUCAACCCUGUCGAGCCGUCGGAACUGGCAGUCUUGAGUGGGCGAGGAGUAUGCGGAAUGCGUGGUGUAGCGGUGAAAUGCAUAGAUAUCACGCGGAACGCCGAUUGCGAAGGCGACAUGCCGGCGCCCAACUGACGCUGAGGCACGAAAGCGUGGGGAUCGAACAGGAUUAGAUACCCCUGUAGUC
rnacentral:rRNA from 1 species